rnacentral:rRNA from 2 species
GGCUAGACGACGCUGGCGGCGUGCCUAAUACAUGCAAGUCGAACGAACUCUGGUAUUGAUUGGUGCUUGCAUCAUGAUUUACAUUUGAGUGAGUGGCGAACUGGUGAGUAACACGUGGGAAACCUGCCCAGAAGCGGGGGAUAACACCUGGAAACAGAUGCUAAUACCGCAUAACAACUUGGACCGCAUGGUCCGAGCUUGAAAGAUGGCUUCGGCUAUCACUUUUGGAUGGUCCCGCGGCGUAUUAGCUAGAUGGUGGGGUAACGGCUCACCAUGGCAAUGAUACGUAGCCGACCUGAGAGGGUAAUCGGCCACAUUGGGACUGAGACACGGCCCAAACUCCUACGGGAGGCAGCAGUAGGGAAUCUUCCACAAUGGACGAAAGUCUGAUGGAGCAACGCCGCGUGAGUGAAGAAGGGUUUCGGCUCGUAAAACUCUGUUGUUAAAGAAGAACAUAUCUGAGAGUAACUGUUCAGGUAUUGACGGUAUUUAAACCAGAAAAGCCACGGCUAACUACGUGCCAGCAGCCGCGGUAAUACGUAGGUGGCAAGCGUUGUCCGGGAUUUAUUGGGCGUAAAGCGAGCGCAGGCGGUUUUUUAAGUCUGAUGUGAAAGCCUUCGGCUCAACCGAAGAAGUGCAUCGGAAACUGGGAAACUUGAGUGCAGAAGAGGACAGUGGAACUCCAUGUGUAGCGGUGAAAUGCGUAGAUAUAUGGAAGAACACCAGUGGCGAAGGCGGCUGUCUGGUCUGUAACUGACGCUGAGGCUCGAAAGUAUGGGUAGCAAACAGGAUUAGAUACCCUGGUAGUCCAUACCGUAAACGAUGAAUGCUAAGUGUUGGAGGGUUUCCGCCCUUCAGUGCUGCAGCUAACGCAUUAAGCAUUCCGCCUGGGGAGUACGGCCGCAAGGCUGAAACUCAAAGGAAUUUGACGGGGGCCCGCACAAGCGGUGGAGCAUGUGGUUUAAUUCGAAGCUACGCGAAGAACCUUUACCAGGUCUUGACAUACUAUGCAAAUCUAAGAGAUUAGACGUUCCCUUCGGGGACAUGGAUACAGGUGGUGCAUGGUUGUCGUCAGCUCGUGUCGUGAGAUGUUGGGUUAAGUCCCGCAACGAGCGCAACCCUUAUUAUCAGUUGCCAGCAUUAAGUUGGGCACUCUGGUGAGACUGCCGGUGACAAACCGGAGGAAGGUGGGGAUGACGUCAAAUCAUCAUGCCCCUUAUGACCUGGGCUACACACGUGCUACAAUGGAUGGUACAACGAGUUGCGAACUCGCGAGAGUAAGCUAAUCUCUUAAAGCCAUUCUCAGUUCGGAUUGUAGGCUGCAACUCGCCUACAUGAAGUCGGAAUCGCUAGUAAUCGCGGAUCAGCAUGCCGCGGUGAAUACGUUCCCGGGCCUUGUACACACCGCCCGUCACACCAUGAGAGUUUGUAACACCCAAAGUCGGUGGGGUAACCUUUUAGGAACCAGCCGCCUAAGGUGGGACAGAUGAUAGGUGAAGUCGAA